rnacentral:rRNA from 1 species
UACGUAGGCAGCAAGCGUUGUUCGGAGUUACUGGGCGUAAAGAGUAUGUAGGCGGUUGCGUAAGUUCGGUGUGAAAUCUCCCGGCUUAACUGGGAGGGUGCGCCGAAAACUGCGUGGCUUGAGUGCGGGAGAGGAGAGCGGAAUUCCUGGUGUAGCGGUGAAAUGCGUAGAUAUCAGGAGGAACACCGGCGGUGUAGGCGGCUCUCUGGACCGUUACUGACGCUGAGAUACGAAAGCGUGGGUAGCAAACAGG